rnacentral:lncRNA from 1 species
CAGGUGUCGAACGGCACCGCCCCGCGUGAGGAGCUCACCUUAAUCCUGAGCUUGGUGCAGAACAGCGCGAUCCACAACUUGAAGUUCCUGAACAAAAAUCCUCCCUCAAGGUAGGGACGAGCAGCGCCGGCACAACGCCCUACCGCCUCACAAGCUGAUACGCCGCUAAGAUUUUUCUUCAGAUGUGAGCAAAGCUUGCCUUUGGAAAGAUGCCGUCAGAAGGGCAGCUCUGGCGGCUUUAGGGGCUGCUAAACAAACAGCUGUCACGACUAAUUAGGUCAGGGAAUUACGGAGAUUGUGCUCUGCCAAAGCUUUAAGAGGGAUGAGGCACUGCAGUACGACUUCAGAAAAUCUCAUUACCGAGCAAACGCGCCGCAGAAAGGUCCCCCCGGUGGAAGGCCGCGGGGGUCGCUCACGCCGCGCCUCUCCGACUCCGAGCCGCCACCUGGACAGGUGGGCGGGUCGCUGCCAUUAGUCGUGCGGAGGGGAUUCGAAACAACACCUGAAGAAAUUUGCAUCAGAACCGAAACGAACGGGGGGCCAUUAGAAACACUUCCACUCAAAAGGAAAGCCGACGUCCUUUCCGCGAGGCUCACGGCCCUCACGUCCCUCACGCCGCGGCCCCCCUAGGCGCGCUGCACGCGGGCGGGAAGCGCCUCACCGCGCCAUCACUGCACAGCGCGGCCUUACAGCGAGGUCAGCAACCGACAGAAAGCGGAGCUCUUCUCAGGCCGCCCUGCUGCCACGGGUGGGAAGGAAAGCUCUGGAAGGAACUCCCCUUCAGAGGGAGCGCCGCACACGGCUCCAGCAUAACCGUCACGCGGGCAUCGCCACGUGUAUUUAACACUAAAGUCUUUUGCUGAAACUUGGAAGCCAUGCUCUUCAUUUCAGUGACACCAGCUUAACGGUGAAACUGAUCUACAGCAAGCAAACCGCUGCCGCUUCGGUCCGCUAGGAGAGACAGCACCGCUGCAGCUGAGCCUCCCCACAGGGGCACCCACACCAAACAGACUGUGCACAUUUGUCCCACUCACUAAGCUACACAAGAAACCAGAUGUGGCUCAAUAGCUGCUUCUGAACGGUGAAGCUCAGUUUUUUGAAGCAUCUGAGUGUCACAACAAGAAAGUCUGCAGAAUGUAUUGACAGCAGGGAGUGCCUUAACCUCUGAAACUUCUUCAAUAGUAGGGCUUCUGCCAACCUUUUCUGGACUUACAACUCCUGCAUUUCGUGAAUUUCUCUCAUUCAAAACACAGGGAGGAAGUAUUCGAUCUACAGGUAAGCUCACAGGACGAAUAGCUGGUUUUGUCCUUGGAACCCUCAAUGGAACUUUGGUAAUUUGACGAUUAGGUUUUGCAGGAAAUAAGUUAACUUUACAGCUCUCUUCACUUGCAGAAACAAAUGAAUGACUGUCUUUCUCUGAAGCUGGAUUCACAGCAUCACCUAGAAACACAAAUAGAUGUUACUUGAGUCUUCAGAAUUUUUAGACAGAAUGCAAGCUUCACCAAUGACCUCUUCACAGCUCAUACAGCAAUGGGAUAACAGCUUUUAGGUAUAUUCUGUACUCAUUACUAAGAGUAUCCCACAAUAGCCAAAUA